GACUACGGUCCUGUGGUUUUUCCUUCUCACAUCGAGGAGGUUUUCCACGUAAAAAGUGAUUGUCUCAUUUACGUUUCCGCUUAUACUAUAUUCUGCCAUUGUCGAAGUAUUUUCUUCACAGGUUCACACAAGGUCAGGGGAACACAACCAUUAGUAUUUCCGCUGCGCCGUGUGACUUUCCCCAUCAGUCACUACUGGUCCUCUAGGACAAGGCAUUGCAAAUGCUGUUGGUUUAGCUCUUGCUGAGAAACAUCUAGCUGCUAGAUUCAACAAACCUGACAGUGAAAUCGUCGACCACUACACUUAUUCGAUUAUUGGAGAUGGUUGUCAGAUGGAAGGGAUUACAAAUGAAGUUUGCUCUCUAGCUGCCCACUGGGGACUUGGAAAGCUCAUCGCUUUCUAUGACGACAAUCACAUUUCUAUCGAUGGAGACACAGAGAUCGCCUUUUCGGAGAACGUGGACAAGCGCUUUGAAGCUCUAGGAUGGCAUGUUAUUUGGGUUAAGAAUGGAAACAAUGGAUAUGAUGAGAUCCGUGCUGCUAUUAAAGAAGCUAAGGCUGUAACAGACAAGCCCACUUUGAUUAAGGUGACUACUACAAUUGGUUAUGGAUCUCCCAACAAGGCGAACUCAUACAGUGUCCAUGGAGCUGCUCUUGGGGAGAAGGAAGUUGAGGCUA